rnacentral:rRNA from 1 species
AUUGAACGCUGGCGGCAUGCUUUACACAUGCAAGUCGAACGGUAACAGGCCGCAAGGUGCUGACGAGUGGCGAACGGGUGAGUAAUGCAUCGGAACGUGCCCAGUCGUGGGGGAUAACUACUCGAAAGAGUAGCUAAUACCGCAUACGAUCUAUGGAUGAAAGCGGGGGACCGUAAGGCCUCGCGCGAUUGGAGCGGCCGAUGUCAGAUUAGGUAGUUGGUGGGGUAAAGGCUCACCAAGCCAACGAUCUGUAGCUGGUCUGAGAGGACGACCAGCCAUACUGGGACUGAGACACGGCCCAGACUCCUACGGGAGGCAGCAGUGGGGAAUUUUGGACAAAGGGCGCAAGCCUGAUCCAGCAAUGCCGCGUGCAGGAAGAAGGCCUUCGGGUUGUAAACUGCUUUUGUACGGAACGAAACGGCUCUGGUUAAUACCCGGGGCUAAUGACGGUACCGUAAGAAUAAGCACCGGCUAACUACGUG